UUCUCAUCAUUCUGUGGCUUCGUGUUGUUGAUUCUUUGGAUGUAACCGUCACUUGAUAAAUGUGCGAAAUUCAUAAUAACUGGUGAUUAAUGAUUCUUCUGUUGUUUCCUAAACUGGUUAACAAUGGCUGAAGAAAUAUCGGCUCCUCAAACUUUGUUUGAAUAUGAAUAUGACCGAUUUGAAGCGAUGUACACAUUUGACGACGACAUCCGGCUUUGUGGAUACCCUAGACCAGGUGUUGAUGCCGUUGAAGAGCUAAAACGACCACGAACUGUUAAAUGCCAUCUUCCUUCACAAACAGCUUUAAGAUGGGAAAGGGAAGGAUUUGUCCAAGGCAGAUAAAAAUAUUGCAGGCUUUCUAGGCAAGUCCCUAACGGAAGAUGACGUCACAAAGAUCAGUGCUCAAUGUCACAUAAAACAAAUGAGCCAAAACCCGACAACAAAUGGAGAAUAUUUUUCCAAGUACAUGCACGCAAGGGACGGCGUUGGAAAAUUCAUCAACAAAGGACAGCCGGGGAUCUGGCGAGACAUUUUAUCAUCGGAAAUGAGUGACAAGCUUGACGUGUUGAUUAAAAGAUUGGACGGAUCUGGACUUUCAUAUGGUUUUUGUUAACGUGUUAAAAUAUUUUCUAAUAUAUUCAAUCAGAAUGUUUAUGAAAAAGAGUACUUGUUUUAUGUGUCAAACAUAAAAUCUGUGUUGAAGUUUUACGUACAAUUUUCAAAAAUUGCACUAGAAAGAGUGUAAUUAAAAAAAAAUAAUGUGAUGUACAAUUGAUCUGCUGUAAAUAGUAAAAUAUGUAUCAGUAUAUGUGCGUGUUUGGUGGACAUUUUUGGUGUGUAAGUAUACACAAAAUAGUAUUUCCUUUCUAUAAAUGUGGAUGGGAACGCGAUUUUGAUCAUUGUGGCGCUAACGUGAAUAACGAGAAAAGGUGAGAAUAAAAUCGCGCACUUUUUUCCCCUUGAUUUUUCAUGAUAUUUUCGAGCUUAAAACUUAGUUAUUUGUUGUCAACAUAAAAAAACACGUCAAUUUC